CAAUUUAAUACUUUGGGCCUUUUUAAAAAAAAAAAAAAAUCAAAAGACUAGGACCUUCCUUGGCCCCCUGAAGUUUUAGGUUUUCAGAUGCUCCGAGAUUCAAUCUGUGCAUUUUCUUGGCAUCUGUUUUUUCCAGGCAGUAUAUUACCACUAUAAAGUAGCCUGAACAGUGGGGUCUUCCCAACUGGGGGCCCACUUCAAAGGCAAUGUUUGAAGUCCCCUGAUGCUGACUGUGGCUGAAAGGGCUUAUUGUUAUGUUUAGUUUAUUAAUUACUUUAAACAGAAAAAAUAAAAGAUAAUUAUCUUCUAAAUAAAGUUCUCAGCCUGUCUUCCUUCUUUAACAUUUUCCAAUCUUCGGUCUUUUUUUUUUUUUCCAGUCAUACACCAGUAACUUUAGUUCUAAAUACUGGUGUGAUAUAAUUAUGUAACGCCUUUUAAGCUGGAGAUAUGUAGCUGUCUUGCAAAGGCACAUUGCUGUUUUCUCCUAUAUUUAGAAAACAAAAAUUUAGAAAGUAAGGGCAAGCAAUCCAUUCAACCAGCAUUAUACCAUGAGGUGUGGAUGGAGAGAGCAAGAGAAUCCAGAUUUCUUAUUCAAUUUCAUCAGGAAAUUGAAGGAAUAUUCUUCCCAGAACACUGGCAACUCUGGAAUCCCCCUGAAAUCUGAAGAGUGUCCUGCUUUCUCACAAACCAAACAUCCCACCCAGUUUUACUUGCAAUUAGCUAUUUCACCCCAACCACAGCUUGCUUUUUUUCCCCAAUUUUCCUCAAAACUAAAGCAAGUCAGAGUCCCGUGGUGUGAAGCAAAACAAAAACACCCCCUAAGUUCAUGUGUUGUCACCAGACAAAAAUUUGCUAAGAACAAGCAGAAAUGAGGAGUUAAUGGAUUCCAUAUGUGGUCACUAACCUAGCUUUAUGAGAUUUUCCAAGAGAUUUCUGAAGAAAUUCCUGGAGCACAAAACAAGAUCAAACACCCACUUUUCCUGUCAAACAGGACAAGGAAUGUUCAAUCCAUAGUUACCCCUGCAUUUACCUCAGUAAACAUGGGAAGAAACUUUGGCGGCAGUGUCUGCUUUGCAAGGAGCCGAGGGCCUUGUGUGGUACCCCAGAGCAGGAAAACAUCGCAAGAUAGAGUCUGCUUCCUCACAGCACGAGGGGACCAGCCCUGCGAGCCUCCUGCCUGGUACCAAAUUCAUCUCAGAGGGGAGGGCCGAUCAACCAAAGGUGGUAACUGUGGAAUUUUCUUCAUCCAGCAAGACUGCCCCCGAAUGCAAAAAGAACAAAGUGUCAAUCGGCUCCUUGUCUCUUCAGACUUCAUUCAGUGGUCACAGAGGUAUUUCCUCUGCACAUAUUUUCGUUCAGCAGUGUGGUUUCUGGCCCAGUGACUGUGGCUAUAAUGGUUAGCUUAGCCUUAACCACAUUAGGGCCCGGGUUAGGGAGAAGAUUUCUUGUUGUUCUUAUUGUUUUUGUUGUCGUUGCUGGAGUUGAGGCAGGGCAGCUGCUGGGGUUAAACACGGUUUCCAUUGUUAUUGUUUUCUUUCUCCCUUUGUGUGUCCUGAACUCUGAAUGGCAGAAAUGAGAGCCCCACUUUUGUUAGUGGAGUGGCUUCUGUGAGCAAAUUCCAACCACUGGAAUGUUUCGUGAGCUGCAAAGACAACCGCAAGAGUCUUGGAAAUUUGUCUGUGGAGUGUAUGGCUGGGGCCCCCUUGCCAUGUCCCUCCUCCCUUCCAAGUGGAAAUAACAGCCAUAGGACAGGUGGGAGAGGAGUGGAUGGGAGCAAAUCAGGAAGAGAGGGCACCUAGCUGAGCUGUCCAGCCACAAGAAAUUUGUGCUUUGGGGUAAAAUAAUGUCCCCGUUAACCAAGGGUGCACAACAUAGAGCACACUGGCAGCAGGGUCCCAAGCAGCUGGCGAGGCUUGGAGCUGCUCCCUGAUAGUGAGAGGGGGCUGGCUACCCCAGGACAGGUUCAUGGAAGAGGGGAGCUGCCUGGGGCCACUUGGGGAGGAGUUGGAAGGUUCACCCGGGGAGGACGAGGCCACGUGAUCUGCAGAGAUAAUGGAGCCUUCAGCUUGACAUCUGAGCCUUGAGUCUCCAGGUGGAGCAGUAUUCUUGCUGGGAGGGGAGACAGUAAUUGUUUUUAGCAUGACAGAUAAGACAUUCCUGCUUCCCUGAUCCCCCGCAUCUGGGAAACUAGCUAAAUAUUUAAAUGAAGGCAUGCAAAGUUUCUAGCUUCUCUCCACUUCCUCCUUCAAGAUCACUCUUAAAUAAGAAGACCCUGCCUUCUUAAUUUUACACUAUGAUAGGUAAAAGCAUAAUUGUAGAGGAUUGUUUGGCUUUAAUCUGAUCAAAACCAUAAGUCGCCAAGAGACUGUGGGAAACAUUAAUUGUGUAGCUGGACUGGGUUUCAUGACUGCAGGGAGACUCAUAAAUAAAGCCUAGGACUUGAGCCCAAGAGUGUAACAGGAGAGAGAAAACAGAAGCUGGUGGAGAAAGAUGGCUGAUGUUGCCUCUUAAGUGAGAGUAUAUAAAUAGUUUGCUCCCUCUGAGGUUGUAUACAAUUUAGUCCCUCUUCACAAGUGUUCCCAUUUAAAGCUGUGGUUAACUGAAGGGCUGGAGAUGUUACUAUUUCUCAAAAAAAAAAAAAAGCUUUCUGUAAAGUUCCAAAUCCUAUGUGUGAUGUUGACAGAUAUUUGACCCACAUAAACAUUCAUUUAAGGAGACGAGACACUAUUUUCCCUGCCUCCUGACCAAACUCAUAUUCUUCAAAACAUCAAACAAAGUAAUAUGCAGAAUUAUGUUGCCCCUGAGAGGGAUUUUCUCUUGUUUCCCUCCCACUCUGCUCAGUCAGUCUGUCUGUCUUUCCCUCCCAGCUUCCCCCUUACCCUCCCCUGAAAACUCUGGAAAAACAGUAAAUUAAACAAGAUGAUGCAGGAGAAGCAGAGCCAAGAACAGUAAAGUGCAGAAUUCAGAGCCUUUCUCCCCUGCCUUCCUGAGAGGAUGCUUUAUGCUGCUGAUUGGCUGCUGGCUUGACUGAGCUAAUUGAAGGUAAGGGGCUGCCCUUAAGAGAAAAAAAAAAAUCUGAAAAAUGGGAAAACAAGGGGAAACCUGAGCCAGGGGACCAGUAAGGGAUGGAAAUUGGGGGGCAGGUGGUAGGGGGAAGUGGCAGAGACACAUUGAGACAGUGUGGCAGUUUGAGGAUAAAAAGAAGAUGUUUAGGAAUCUUUUAAGUAUGUUAGAUCCUAAAAUUGUCCCUUUGCAAUGUUUAGUGAAGAACAAAAUAUUGCAUUUUAACACAUAUGUAUGAAAUCUAGAAAGAUGGUACUGUUGCCCUAUGUGCAGGGCAACAAUGGAGACACAGACAGAACAGAUUUGUGGACACAGGCCAGGGAAGGAGAGGGUGGGGUGAAUUAAGGGAGUAGCACUGAAACAUCUGCGUUAUCAUAUGUAAAAUGAGCCAGGGAAACUGUGCUGUAGGACAAUGGGAGCUCAAAUCCAGUGCUCUGUGACAACCUAGUGGGCGGGGUGGCAGGAGCGGGGAAUGAGGGGGAGUGAGACAUGUAUCCCUGUGGCUAAUUCCAUGUUGAUAUAUGUCAGAAACCAAUACAAUACUGUAAAGCAAUUAUCCUCCAAUUUAAAGUUUCAAAAAGUGUUUUUAAAAUAAAAGGUUUUUUCAGAGCACUUAGGAGUCCGUUUCUUUUUUUAGAUGCAUUAUCUUUCAGAGACAAAUCCUAACCCUAGAAGGUAGACAUUAGGUUAGAUAGAAGGAAAAGAUAGAUUGAUAUAGAUAAGAGACCUAGCAAAUGUGGGCCCAGUUAUCUAAUUUACACCUAAACAGUCAUUUCACCUGUCUUAAUUUCAUGCUCUCCUGCCAAAUCGCUUCAGUCGUGUCCAACUCUGUGCAACCCCCUAGACAGCAGCCCACCAGGCUCCCCCGUCCCUGGGAUUCUCCAGGCAAGAACACUGGAGUGGGUUGCCAUUUCCUUCUCCAAUGCAUGAAAGUGAAAAGUGAAAGUGAAGUCGUUCAGUCCUGUCUGACUCUCAGUGACCUCACGGACUGCAGCCCACCAGGCUCCUCAGUCCAUGGGAUUUUCCAGGCAAGAGUACUGGAGUGGGGUGCCAUUGCAUUCUCCGAUUUCAUGCUCUACUCCCUUAAAAGAAACACAAUUGUUCCAAACCCAUUUGCUGUAAAUUUCCAUGGUUUUCAACUCUUUUCAUUUCCAUAUCUAUUCAUCUUUUUUUGUGAUUCUCCUUUCCCUUUUCCAUGAAUCUUUGUUGCUUUUUAUCAUGUCUUUCUUUUCUACCACCUUUUGGGGCAGCCUCUCUUUGUAAACUCCUAGGAUUCAGCUCUAUAGUGCACAUCAAGUCUACAACCUGCCUUUUGUAUUGCAGAAACUCUCAGCCCUAGGAGUGUUGUGAUGUGUUUUGCUUUCUUCUUUCCUGGCAGCCAUGCUCCUUGUCUCUGUAGACAUGGAGUCCUGAGCUGGGACCUCUGGAUGCUAGAGGGUCAAUCCCGAUGCCUGUCCUUUGAUUUUUGCCUCUCUGAACCCUGUAUAUUCUCUUCAUUCUUCCAGAAACUAUCAAUGAUUUUUUUUUCUUCACAAGACCCCUCUUUCUAUUGCAAUACUUCUCCUUCAGCCCCUGCAAUUCUGGUGGAACUGGCAAUCCUAUCCUUAAUAGUGCAUCACUCAGGGCUAGCCAAUCAUAGCAUUUUAUCCCUCCUAAACUGCAAGGAUUGGUUCAAGGUGAGCCAUCUGACCCAAGUUGUGCAGGAGUAUCCAAUGAACUUAAAUAGUUAGAUACUGUCUCCUGGGAUUGAGUACUGUGAGAACACUGUAAAUUAGAACUACCUGCAGCUAUCUUUUCUAACUCCAUGGAGAAAGAUACAUACAACAAGAGGAUAAUAUCCCUGGAAUAACCCUUAAGCAAUAAACAGUGGGAGUAGAUAAAACAUCAUCAGUCCUUCUACUAGGGUACAACCACGCAGCCCUAGUAGUCCCUAUUUCCUCAUCAAAGAACAAGAUCCUCAGAUAAUACACAGUCUGCUGUCGGGUUCAGUUAUGACUCCUCAAGGUCUAAGAACAUAUGACCUAAAAAUGAACUAACUGGAAGCCAUCUGCACCCAGAGACUUAGAUGGCAUGGUAACAUCUUUAAUGUGGUCUUUGUUCUAAGGUUGAAUUGUUUCAGUGAACUGAGAAUUCUUACCCUCUUGAAGUCUAGGAAUAUUUCAUCCUCAAACAGUCCAUCAGAAAUGUAAAUCUUUAUGUGUGGAUUCUUUAUCACUGAGCCACUGAGGAAGCCCAAGAAUUAUUGUAUGCUUGGAUGAAAUUCCUGCUAUGAAAGAUGUGGUAUUCUCAGCUGUAACUCCAACCCACUGAUAAGGAGGAAGGGAAGACAAUGGAAACUCGAGUCAACUAUAUGCCAAACACAGUUCUAAUGAGGCAACCCUUUAAAGGAGUUUAUAUGUUGCCUUGGCUUGAAAAUAUCCAAAGGCCUCUAUCAUUCUGGCAGAAUGGAAGCUAACCUGAUCUUCAGAUGGCUGUGAACAUUCUGCAGCACAGUGGAGUGGAAGAAGCAUUUGUCUCAGGAGACCAGGUCUGAGUCCAGGCUUUGCCUUGUAGUACCUGUGGGACUUUUGGACAAAUCACUUCCUCUCUCUAAGCCUCUAUUUCCUCAGCGGUUCAAGAGGGGGCUGGAUCAGGAGAAAUCUCAGGCUUAUUCUGCUCUAACGACCUCUGAGUCUAUGCAAGCUGGCUGAAUGUUACCUUGAGCCCUGCCCAGAAUAUCCAGUUGGCUAAAAUUUCUGCUCUGGUCUUAAAAUAUGACUUAGUAGGAUUUUCUUUUCAUCACCUGACUUAUGUCAUUUGAAGGUCAUCUGUGACCACUAGAAUGAAUGCGAUUUUAAGCCCUUAAAAACAAAAAUGAUAAUUAUUCAGUGACAUCAUCAGUAUGUCACCCAUGAGUUUUGCCACAUUGGCUAUAUGAUUUGGUAAUAAUUAUCUGCAAGACUCUUUCACAGGAAACACCUGCUGAGGUGUAGGUCAGCCCGGCUGCUCUAAAUAUGAAACACUUCUUCUGUUCCUGUCCCUGCAGAAAUAGAGAUAAGCAGGGCAGACUCUCAAGAAACCUCAAAGCCCCCAGCUUCCUCUUCAUUCUCCCUUUCUUCCGUCAGGGUCUGCCAUCUAUUCUAGCCACUGCACCUUUUAUUGUAUUCCUAGAUAGAAAUGCAAAGGAACCACCAUUAGGACAUGUCCUUCUACCCAGUUCUAUCUAAUUUAAUUGUCCUGGUCAUAUUUGAUUUUUAAUAUUUUUUUCUUUCCUAUUAAAAGAAAUAAGAAGUUAGUUGCUUUUAAUUUAGUUGAGAUUUUCCUCAGUGGGAAAACAGUGAGUAUGAAGAAAUGGGUAAGAACAUAAUGAUGGUUUUAGGUCUCUGUCUCAUGCUGUCUCCUACCGUGCACUUUCCAUCAACUC
ensembl:lncRNA